rnacentral:rRNA from 1 species
GAGCGGGGACAACACUCGGAAACGGAUGCUAAUACCCCAUAGGUGGAUUGGUCGCAUGACGAAUUCAUUAAAGGUGGCUUUGCUACCACUCAUGGAUAGCCUCGCGGCGUAUUAGCUAGUUGGUAAGGUAAUGGCUUACCAAGGCAGUGAUACGUAGCCGACUUGAGAGGGUGAUCGGCCACACUGGGACUGAGACACGGCCCAG